UGCCUGGCACUUGGAAGCUUCCGGGG
rnacentral:piRNA from 1 species